rnacentral:rRNA from 1 species
AGUGAACGCUGGCGGUAGGCCUAACACAUGCAAGUCGAACGGCAGCACAGUAAGAGCUUGCUCUUACGGGUGGCGAGUCGCGGACGGGUGAGGAAUACAUCGGAAUCUACUUUUUCGUGGGGGAUAACGUAGGGAAACUUACGCUAAUACCGCAUACGACCUACGGGUGAAAGCAGGGGAUCUUCGGACCUUGCGCGAUUGAAUGAGCCGAUGUCGGAUCAGCUAGUUGGCGGGGUAAAGGCCCACCAAGGCGACGAUCCGUAGCUGGUCUGAGAGGAUGAUCAGCCACACUGGAACUGAGACACGGUCCAGACUCCUACGGGAGGCAGCAGUGGGGAAUAUUGGACAAUGGGCGCAAGCCUGAUCCAGCCAUACCGCGUGGGUGAAGAAGGCCUUCGGGUUGUAAAGCCCUUUUGUUGGGAAAGAAAAGCAGCAGGUUAAUACCCCGCUGUUCUGACGGUACCCAAAGGAUAAGCACCGGCUAACUUCGUG